ACUCAGACCUGGCAGGGGAGAUACCAUUGUUGUAAAAGUGGUUUUCCCAGGGUAAGGCCCAUCUAUUGCACUUCGGAUGAGCUGACCCCUGUGAUUUCCCUAAACAUGGGAAAAGCAACUGCCUAAGUGGGAGACUGUGUUUAUGGUUUCCCC
ensembl:snRNA U1 U1 spliceosomal RNA